rnacentral:rRNA from 1 species
UACGUAGGGGUGCAAGCGUUGUCCGGAAUUAUUGGGCGUAAAGGAGCUCGUAGGCGGUUUGUCGCGUCGGCUGUGAAAACCUGGGGGCUACAACCCCCGGGGCCUGCAGCCCGAUACGGGCAAACUAGAAUUCGGUAGGGGAGACUGGAAUUCCUGGUGUAGCGGUGAAAUGCGCAGAUAUCGGGAGGAACACCAGUAGCGAAGGCGGCACUCUGGGCCGGUACUGACGCUGAGACAGAAAGCGUGGGGAGCAAACAGG